CAAGUACUCCCUCCAUCUGGAAUUACUUGUCAUCAAAAUGGAUGUGUCUAGAACUAAAAUACAUCUAGAUACAUCCAUUUCAAUGACAAGUAUUUUCGGAUGGAGGGAGUACAAG
rnacentral:pre_miRNA from 1 species